AACGAACGCUGGCGGCAUGCCUAACACAUGCAAGUCGAACGAGACCUUCGGGUCUAGUGGCGCACGGGUGCGUAACGCGUGGGAACCUGCCCUUAGGUUCGGAAUAACUCCCCGAAAGGGGUGCUAAUACCAGAUAAUGUCUUCGGACCAAAGAUUUAUCGCCUUUGGAUGGGCCCGCGUUGGAUUAGCUAGUUGGUAGGGUAAAAGCCUACCAAGGCGACGAUCCAUAGCUGGUCUGAGAGGAUGAUCAGCCACACUGGGACUGAGACACGGCCCAGACUCCUACGGGAGGCGGCAGUGGGGAAUAUUGGACAAUGGGCGAAAGCCUGAUCCAGCAAUGCCGCGUGAGUGAUGAAGGCCUUAGGGUUGUAAAGCUCUUUUACCCGGGAUGAUAAUGACAGUACCGGGAGAAUAAGCUCCGGCUAACUCCGUG
rnacentral:rRNA from 1 species